GGGCUGGGCUGUGGAUUUUGGGCCAUUGAACCCCCCAAAAAGUGACCUUAGUGGGUUAGGAGUAGUGAUGAAACUUCAGAUCAGAUUCUUGGCCUUCUUGGGUCUGUAGAAGACCCCAAGGAGAGCUGGGUUGGAAGAAGGCAACAGAGGGGUUAACCACCUCUACCUCGUGAAAACUCAGUCUAAAUCUGGUGCGUAUUUUAAGGAUAUACUAGGUUUAAGUCCACCCUCAACCAUAGAUGCUCAACUGAAUUUUCAGGUCAAUUGGCCAACGUUAAGUUCAACCAAUUAACCUGAAGCUCAACUGGAAAUCUGAGCUCAGCCAUCUAGCCUUAAACUCAACUGACUAACCAACCAGCCAACCUUAGGUUCAAUGAGCCAAUCUUAACUUCAACCAGCCCACCUUAAGCUCAACUGAUUAACCUUAAACUCAACGAGCCAAUCUCAAUUCAACUGGCCAACCUGAAACUCAACUGACAAAUCUGAAGCUCAGUUGAUUAACCUUAAGCACAACUAACUAACUUUAAACCCAUCCAACCAAACAAGAUCAACUGACUAACCCUUGAGGUCAACUGGC